GUGCUUGCUUCAGCAGCACAGAUGCUAAAACUGGAAUGAUACAGAGAUUAACAUGGCCCCUGUGCAAGGAUGACAUGCAAAUUCAUGAAGCAUUCCAUAUUUUU